GACGUAGGGUGCAAGCGUUGUCCGGAUUUACUGGGCGUAAAGAGCGCGUAGGCGGUCUGUUAAGUGUAGAGUGAAAUCUCUGGGCUCACCCCGGAAACUGCUCUGCAUACUGGCAGACUUGAGGGAAGCAGAGGUUUGUGGAAUUCCUGGUGUAGCGGUGAAAUGCGUUGAUAUCAGGAGGAACACCCAUGGCGAAGGCAGCAAACUGGGCUUCAUCUGACGCUGAUGCGCGAAAAGCGUGGGGUAGCAAACAGG
rnacentral:rRNA from 1 species